rnacentral:rRNA from 1 species
UACGGAGGGAGCUAGCGUUGUUCGGAAUUACUGGGCGUAAAGCGCACGUAGGCGGCUUUGUAAGUUAGAGGUGAAAGCCCGGAGCUCAACUCCGGAAUUGCCUUUAAGACUGCAUCGCUUGAAUCCAGGAGAGGUGAGUGGAAUUCCGAGUGUAGAGGUGAAAUUCGUAGAUAUUCGGAAGAACACCAGUGGCGAAGGCGGCUCACUGGACUGGUAUUGACGCUGAGGUGCGAAAGCGUGGGAAGCAAACAGGG